GGGAGGAUAGCGAAGAGGUUAAACGCGGUUGGUUGUAAUCCAGCUCCCCUUUGGGUUCGGCGGUUCAAAUCCGUCUCCUCCCACCA
rnacentral:tRNA from 1 species